rnacentral:rRNA from 1 species
UACAGAGGUCUCAAGCGUUGUUCGGAUUCAUUGGGCGUAAAGGGUGCGUAGGUGGCGGGGUAAGUCAGGUGUGAAAUUUCGGAGCUUAACUCCGAAACUGCAUUUGAUACUGCCUUGCUUGAGGACUGGAGAGGAGACUGGAAUUCACGGUGUAGCAGUGAAAUGCGUAGAGAUCGUGAGGAAGACCAGUGGCGAAGGCGGGUCUCUGGACAGUUCCUGACACUGAGGCACGAAGGCCAGGGGAG